UGAUUUUUGGCUUCAUGGAAUAGUAGAAUUUUCUUUAUGGAAGAUCACAUUUAUUUGGGAAAAAGAGUUGUCAAAUACUUGUGCAGACUGCAGACUUUUCAAAUUCAAAGGGCACCAUGUGUUCCUUGACAGAUUAUUCAUAUUCAUUUCCUUGGAUAGGGCUGGGCUUUACAAUGGGAUUUUCAGCUGUUGAGCUAUAAAGAAUUACUAUGUAGGGUUUCCAAUGUAAUUUUGUGAACAGAAUCCAGAAAUAAGAAGAGGAGGGACAAUGCAGUUGCAGCAUGAGCAUGACCAAUUACUUGCCACUGCUGAGAAAAUGGUACAUGCUUUGAAUACUACUCUUGUGUAUUUGGAGACAGUCCAGUUGUUCUUUAAACCAGGAGUGGAAAUUUCAGUGCUUGUUAAAUUUUCUCCAGAACUUAUUGGAUGCUACAUAGGAAGAAAAUGGGGUCAUACUGAACAGAAUAGUUUGGAUACACCUUAUAGAUUUUGAAAGCUUGAGACCUCAAGAUCAACCCAAAUGGUGUACCGAACAUGAAGAAAAAAAGACAGUUUAUAAUUGAAGAAGCUUGCGUAGUGACCAAUAUUUCAGGGUAUUUCAUAUAUAUUAACUUGUACGAUUUUAUUGGUACAUGUACUUCAACAUUGUUAACAUCUUAAUAUUAAACAUGUAUCAGGUUCACUUGCAGGAAUACACAAAAAUUCAGAGUAAAUUUUCAGUGUUUGUUUUGUUAGAUAAGGUCAAAGAUCAAGGUCAACAGUGCUUUUGUUUUACCAAAUAUAACACAAUUAUAAAGACUAAUUUCCUGUAUACAGGUAUAGCAAAUAAUUCAUAAUAUGACUUGGGAAGCUGUGACUUUUUUCUUUUAAAUCUUAUCUUAAUUUAGAAUAAUGAUGUAUACUUAAGCAAGUAGAAUUUUUUCAAGCAUACAAAAUUUUAAGGUCAUUUUAAUUUUGGAAGUGAAUAUAAAAUAUCAGGAAGCAGUCAAGCAUUGUAAUUUUUUUUGUUGUUAGUUAUUGAGUAAUAUUCAAAUUUUAAUCUGCAAUGAAAUUAAAAAUUAGAAAUGUCCUAAUUUGUUGA